rnacentral:rRNA from 1 species
GCGGGAAUUCGAUUCCUACGGGAGGCAGCAGUUAGGAAUUUUGGGCAAUGGGGGCAACCCUGACCCAGCAACGCCGCGUGGGUGACGAAGGCCUUCGGGUCGUAAAGCCCUUUUCCGGGGGACGAUGGUGACGGUACCCCGGGAAUCAGCCCCGGCUAACUACGUGCCAGCAGCCGCGGUAAUACGUAGGGGGCGAGCGUUGUCCGGAUUCAUUGGGCGUAAAGCGCUCGCAGGCGGUUCGCCGCGUCGCGCGUGAAGGCCCCCGGCUCAACCGGGGGUGGUCGCGGGAUACGGGCGGACUGGAGGUAGGUAGGGGGACGCGGAAUUCCCGGUGUAGUGGUGGAAUGCGUAGAGAUCGGGAGGAACACCGGCGGCGAAGGCGGCGUCCUGGACCUGGCCUGACGCUCAGGAGCGAAAGCGUGGGGAGCGAUCCGGAUUAGAUACCCGGGUAGUCCACGCCGUAAACGAUGCGGACUAGGUGUCGGGGGUAUCGACCCCCCCGGUGCCGCAGCCAACGCGAUAAGUCCGCCGCCUGGGGAGUACGGCCGCAAGGCUAAAACUCAAAUGAAUUGACGGA